rnacentral:lncRNA from 1 species
AGAAUAUAAGUGAAUUUCACCUAAUCGUUAUGAACUUAUAUUCACAAGUAGUGAAGGUUGUUAUCCACAAUCGCGUGAAGUAAAUUCUUGGCAUAAGUUUCAUGCAAUUCAUAGUAACAAGUGCCUCGUCAAUGCUUAUGAUUUUCAUAGAACUUAAUGAUUCUUGCUUGUAUCUCUAUUAUGCAAUUCAUGUAGGGAACUUGUGGGGAAUAUUUUGGGUUGUCGUAUGCAAUCAUCCAAUCCAUUAACUUAAGGAAAAUCUGAGAAUUAAUUUAUGCAAUUCAUGGUUAAUUUGGGGCGUUGAGAUUUACAAUUUAUUGAAAGAACAACUGAAAAUCAAUUUAGGUUGCAUAUGUGU